UACGGGGGGGCAAGCGUUGUUCGGAAUUACUGGGCGUAAAGGGUGCGUAGGCGGUGCUCUAAGUCGGAUGUGAAAACUCUGGGCUCAACCCAGAGCCUGCAUCCGAAACUGGAGUGCUAGAGUUCUGGAGGGGGUAGCGGAAUUCCUGGUGUAGCGGUGAAAUGCGUAGAUAUCAGGAGGAACACCGGUGGCGAAGGCGGCACUCUGGGCCGGUACUGACGCUGAGGAGCGAAAGCGUGGGGAGCAAACAGG
rnacentral:rRNA from 1 species